rnacentral:lncRNA from 1 species
GUAAAGAGAUAGAUCUUUUCCCGCUGCCUACUCAAACUGUUGAUGAGAUAUCUACUUCUGCUAUGAGGCAAUUCAAGUUGGGUCAAGUUGGUGACUUACAACGUCCUGACCUUCCAUCAAAUCUGGGAAUGCUUGGAGAGGAUCUAUCGACACGAGAAGCUGAGACAAGGAUACUAACUUGGCGUGUUAAUGGUCCAACUAACCCACUGGAAGAUUUAUCCAACGAAAGAGAGCUAAAUCUUUCUCUUCACAUUCACCCAGCUGCACAUAAAUCGGAAAGGCCAUUUAACCGUGUGAAGGACAAGCAAGGUGGAACAGGUAAAGACCAGGUUAUGAGUGAAAAUGGACAGGAACAUUAUCUUGGAAGACUUUCUUCGACUCAUAGAUCUCCAA